AAGGAGCACAUCUCGGGGCAGUACCACCCACACAGGUGGGAGGGAACCCCCGCAGAGACCACGCCGACCACAUUCGUUGGUCGGGUGGACGCUCAUGGGUGGAACACUGACAACCAGAGCCGGCAACAACGGUCACGCUCAGUCGUGACCAGCCGGCACUAUAUCGAUGCACUGUUGGGUCCUGAGAGAACACGCGAGUGUUUCUUUCUAGGCAAGAAUGGAUCUCCUUCGGAUGUCUGGCAUACCGCGCCUUCGGGUGGGCAUGGUGCAGAUGGGAGUUCGAAGGGGGUGUGUUGUUUGAGAACUGCACAGUGGACGCGAGCAUCUUUGUU
rnacentral:misc_RNA from 1 species